rnacentral:rRNA from 1 species
CCUACGGGAGGCUGCAGUGAGGAAUAUUGGUCAAUGGGCGCGAGCCUGAACCAGCCAAGUAGCGUGAAGGAUGAAUGCCCUCCGGGUUGUAAACUUCUUUUAUAAAGGAAUAAAGUGAGGCACGUGUGCCUUUAUGUAUGUACUUUAUGAAUAAGGAUCGGCUAACUCCGUGCCAGCAGCCGCGGUAAUACGGAGGAUCCGAGCGUUAUCCGGAUUUAUUGGGUUUAAAGGGAGCGUAGAUGGGUUGUUAAGUCAGUUGUGAAAGUUUGCGGCUCAACCGUAAAAUUGCAAUUGAUACUGGCAGUCUUGAGUACAGUUGAGGUAGGCGGAAUUCGUGGUGUAGCGGUGAAAUGCUUAGAUAUCACGAAGAACUCCGAUUGCGAAGGCAGCUUACUAAACUGCCACUGACAUUGAUGCGCGAAAGUGUGGGUAUCAAACAGGAUUAGAUACCCGAGUAGUC